rnacentral:misc_RNA from 1 species
CUCAACCAAACCUGAACAUGCAUGCAAAUUUAGAACCUCAAGAUUUGAGCAAGCUUACUUUCCUAGAUCUAAAGUGGUGUAUAAGUCUUUGCACUUUACCGAGCUUGCUUCAUUUGAAAAGUCUUAAGGUUCUUUCUAUAGCGUAUUGCUUAAAAAUCAUAGAGUUUCCAGAGUUUCCAGAACAAGUGCCCUCAUCAAUUGGAUGUCUCUCUCAUCUUUCUCGGUUGGAUUUGAAUUGUUUGACGGGGCUUGAAAGUCUCCCAGAUAGCAUUGGCAAUCUCAAAUCUCUCAGAGAAUUUGGUAUCUUUGAUUGUGUGAAUCUAAAGGAACUUCCGGAGAACUUGGGGAAUUUAGAAUCUCUA